rnacentral:rRNA from 1 species
GAUGAACGCUGGCGGCGUGCCUAAUACAUGCAAGUCGAGCGAACAGACGAGGAGCUUGCUCCUCUGACGUUAGCGGCGGACGGGUGAGUAACACGUGGAUAACCUACCUAUAAGACUGGGAUAACUUCGGGAAACCGGAGCUAAUACCGGAUAAUAUAUUGAACCGCAUGGUUCAAUAGUGAAAGACGGUUUUGCUGUCACUUAUAGAUGGAUCCGCGCCGCAUUAGCUAGUUGGUAAGGUAACGGCUUACCACGGCAACGAUGCGUAGCCGACCUGAGAGGGGGGUCGGCCACACUGGAGCUGAGACACGGUCCAGGCUCCUACGGGAGGCAGCAGUAGGGAAUCGUCCGCAAUGGGCGAAAGCCUGACGGAGCAACGCCGCGUGAGUGAUGAAGGUCUUCGGAUCGUAAAACUCUGUUAUGAGGGAAGAACAAAUGUGUAAGUAACUAUGCACGUCUUGACGGUACCUAAUCAGAAAGCAACGGCUAACUACGUG